GGCGGUGUAGCUCAGCUGGUUAGAGCGCACGACUCAUAAUCGUGAGGUCGGGGAUCGAGCCCCCCACCGCUAC
rnacentral:tRNA from 1 species